CCUGUGCUGGCUCAAUUGGUAGAGCAUGAGACUCUUGAUCUCAGGGUUGGCAGUUCGACCUCCACGUUGGU
rnacentral:tRNA from 1 species